UGAAAAUCUUCAUAAAUCCAUUAUUUCAUCAUAUAGUUAAAUGAUAAAUUGGGAUGGCAUCAGUUUAACAAAAAAUGCAGGAUUUUUGUCAAGUUAAGAUUAAAAAUGUUUCAUUAUUCAAUUUACUCAGCCAUACUUUCUACAGGAAUUCAAUACCUGCAGCUUUCCCAACCCUCUGUGGAAUACUCCAUCAUCUAAGUGUUCAAGUUUGCUGAUCUCUGUACUCCUGGAAAACAGCAAUGAUUAAGAAAUCCCCCUACCUUUUUGCAUUCUGGGAAACAGCUUGAUGCAAAGAACCACCCUUCUCUGCAUGAUUGUUGCUUGUUCUCCCAAAGUGAUAUCUGAAGAGUGGCUAAAGCCAGAAGAGGGCUGCAGAUACACACUGGAGACCUCUCUUCACGGAGGUGGGAGGUGACAACCGGCAGCUUGAAGUAAUGAAGUCAAAGAAUUUUCAGAAGAGUUCAGAAAAAGAGAAUAUACUUGGGUUAGAACCUUCAGGCAUAUUAGAUAUUCGAGGAGAAUCAAGAAAUCCUAGUACUGGUGACAUUCAGACAACACAAGCGUGGGCACACCAACCCCUUCUUCAUAGUGGAAAAUACGUGUACAACUUGACUCCCCCAAAACUUACCUACGAGUUGCCCACUGUUGACUAGAAGCCCUACCAAUAACAUGAACAGUUGGUUAACACAGAUUUUGUAUGUUAGAUGUAUUCUCUACUCUAUUCUUAUAGUAAAGUGAGGUAGAGAAAAGUAAAUGUUAUUAAAGUUAUAAGGAAGAGAAAAUACAUUUACAUACUGUACUCUUUUAAUAAAAAAAAUCUGUGUGAAAGUAGACCUUUGGAGUUCCAACUCAUGUUUUUCAAGGGUCAACUACAGAGGGAAAGCAAUAAACAGGAUUCACUGGCUUUCAUAAAAUAUGAAAAGGCUGCUGUCAGAGCUUCAAAGAUGCAAUACAGAAUGUUAUUGAAGUCAAGUCCUUAAAGAAAGCUUUGGAAGAAAAUUAUUCUAAGGACAAGUAACAUAAUGAUUAUGAUUAUGAUACAAGUAAAUGAUGAUGUGAAGUAAUUAUCUGAAAUGAGCAAACAUGAAAAGAAGCCAUAAUAUUGGCAAACCAAUAAAUCAUUUAAAAGAAAAAAAAAAAAAAAAAACAGCCAAGAUGGAACUUGGGCCCAAAUGAGUGCCCAUUUCAAAUUUUCCAUCAUUGCCUUCUGAAAAAGACUUUGUAGUUCCCCCUGAACUCUAGAAGACACCAGCUGACCCCAACAUAAAAACAUUAAGUGAACAACAACAACAACCAAAAAACAAACAAGAGAGAGAGAACGUCUGAAAGCCCUGUUAGCAGUAGGAGUGAUGGGGAAGAAAGAUAUGAAGAAGAAAAAUUUUUACCAUCUUUCCUGCCUGAGGAUAGUGAUUUGACAGUGGUGAUGGCUUCUUCAUUGGGAAAAUUAUUGUUCAUAUCGAAAGAGGGAAAGUGGUUGCCAUUCUUCAGUUAAGGAACAGAGAAGCCCCAAAAAUCAUUACCCUAAAAAGACAUCCUUGAAGCCUAUGGAGUUAGAGGAAAUGGUAAAAACUGUUCAAGGAUUGAAGACAGGAAGUCUGAAUCCAUGCUUUCCUCUUCUUUCUCAGGAUCCAAGAGCUCUGGAAAGACAUUAUGGGGAAAAACUGGCUCUGAAUAGCAAAAUGGCAGUUUGUCCUCAAAAUAAACUUGAGUUCAAGAAUCUGUCUCUUUAGGGGCACCUGGGUGGCUUAGUGGGUUAAAGCCUCUGCCUUCAAUUCAGGUCAUGAUCCCAGGGUCCUGGGGUAGGGUCCCAUAUAGGGCUCUCUGCCCAGCAGGGAGCCUGCUUCCUCCUCUUUCUCUGCCUGCCUCUCUGCUUACUUGUGAUCUCUGUCUGUCAAAUAAAUAAAAUCUUUAAAAAAACAAGAAAAGAAUCUGUCUCUUUAAAAAUAAACAAUUGCAGCUCAUGGUUUAUGGGAAGCAAGCAGGAGUUGCUGUUCUUUCGAAUAACAAAUUAGAAUUGUUGUUUUUGGGGAAGAAUGUACAUUUGAUGAGUGAUUAGUGAAUUCUCUAUGAACAUUUCCCUCUAAAAUUUUUUUUUUACUAACCUUUAAUUUAUUUUUUAUUUUUUAUUAACAUAUAAUGUAUUAUUAGUCCCAGGGGUACAGGUCUGUGAAUCAUCAGGCUUACACAUUUCACAGCACUCACCAUAGCACAUACCCUACCAGUGUCCAUAACCCAGCCACCCUCUCCCUAUUCCCCUUCCCCCCAGCAACCUUCAGUUUGUUUUGUGAGAUUGAGUCUCUUAUGGCUUGUCUCCCUCCGGAUCCCAUCUUGUUUCAUUUUUACCU